AAAAGGGCGGAGGUUGUUAUCUCCAAGAAUAAAAUAAUCUCUGUUGAAGAUAUUUGACACCGUUUAAAGUACUCCAGUCCAUACAGGCUUCCGUACUUGUGUCUGUUGUUCCAGUUUGCUCUUGCACCAAGACGUGAAUCCAGACUGCCUUCACCAGAUACAGUAUGACAUCAGUGAUGAUCUCCGUACCCACCACAGCAUCACGGUUCGCUCUGCUGCAGGUCGACUCUGAUUCGGACAGUGAUUCAGAUGCAGGAAAGCUGAAGACGGGUCGUGGAUCAGGAAAGCCCCACUCUGGGAAAUCUCCCAGUGGGAAGAGCACCCAAAACAAUGACAAGAAGAAAGAGAAGAGACGACGAAAGAAGGAACAGCAGCAAAGUGAAGCUAAUGAGCUCCGGAGUCUUGCCUUUAAGAAGACCCCUCAGAAGUCUACAGCACCCUCCUCCACACACUCGCUACAGGGUUUAGCGAAUGAUCUACUGAUCCCAGCAGCUGUCCAGCCAAAGUCAGCACCACAGGAGAACUGGCAGGAGUGGAAACAGAGAGAUGAACAGCUGACCAGUGAAUUGUACGAGGCAGACCUGGAGAAGGCCUUAAUUCUGAGUAAACUGCAAUUUGAACAAAAGGAUGUUGAAAAAACAGGGACAGCAUCACCAAAGGCUAAGACAGGAGGGAAGAAAGACAGGAAGAAGGCUCAGCAGGGGAAGGACAAACGAGUGACUGUGUCUCUCAAAGACUUCCAGCAGGAGGGCAGUAUGGAUCAGCCGAAGAGGCCUGGCAGAGAGGAAUUGAAGCCUGUGAACCCUGCGCUGCGUGACGACAGGUUCUUUAACCAGCUAGAGGACGACGUGAGUCGGAUCGUUCAGCGUGACAAACGCAGAGAGCAGUACAGCAACAGUGUUGGCCAUGAGGUCAACACCUCCUCGGAGCAAGAGCAGGAUGUGAGAACAGAGCAGUUAAAGUAUGAACUGGAAAAGAAAGACCAGGAAAUUGGAAAGUUGAAAAAGACAAUUUCACAAUGGGAGGAUAGAUAUAAGGAAGUAAAGGCCAGAAACGCUCAGCUGCUUAAAAUGCUUCAACAGGGAGAGAUGAAGGAUAAAGCUGAGAUUCUACUGCAGGUGGAAGAGCUCAUGAACAUAAAAGAGGAAUUGUCCUCGCAGGUGACACAACUGCACGCAGCUCUUGAACAGGAGAGGUCAAAGGUGAAAGGCUUACAGUCAGAACAACCGAAACAUCAGGUAUGGAGACAGACACAGGGCAGUGAAGAUAUAAGGAAAGACAGUAGGUUUGUAAGCAGCACUAUGGAGGAGCUGAUGCAGUGAAAACUCUGAGUUUGGGGAUAAAUUAAACAAGUCUAGACAUUUAAACAAGACUGGACAUUUACACAGCAGCAUCUGUGGGAACCGGAAGGGGAAGAAAGCAUCAGACGGGGAUUUAUGAAGAUCGCUCGUAAAAAGAAAUAGACUGCUUGAAUAUUCCACCUCCUUUGUCAGGCUGCUAAUAUCUUUACAGAUUAAAACACAGCAUCACAGAUACAUACGCUUCUCAUCUUUUCCAAUAAACAGUAUACUUUAAGCUCUUGUCAUCAUAGACAUCCUUUGAGUUCUCAACACACUGGCUUCUGGUAAAAUCAGCCUUACAGGGCACCUUCUGUUACGAUACGGUUUCAUGUUUCAGUUGUCUGUAAUGCACUCCCAUCUGUUAGUGUCACUGCUUCUAAACUGUAGAAGAAAUCUACUGUGGUUCUGUGCUUUAGUAAUGAAAGUCUUCAUAUCUUGAGUUCUUUUCAAUAAAAAGACUAAUCUACUUUUUCAAA